rnacentral:rRNA from 1 species
AUCAUGGCUCGGGAUGAACGCUAGCUACAGGCUUAACACAUGCAAGUCGAGGGGCAGCGGGAUUGAAGCUUGCUUCAAUUGCCGGCGACCGGCGCACGGGUGAGUAACGCGUAUCCAACCUUCCGUACACUCAGGGAUAGCCUUUCGAAGAAAGAUUAAUACCUGAUGGUAUCUUAAGCACACAUGUAAUUAAGUAUAAGUAUUAUCGUGUCGAUGGGAGUGCGUUCCACUUAGUUAAGG